GUGGCGAGUGGCGAACGGGUGAGUAAUGCGUCGGAACGUACCGAGUAAUGGGGGAUAACGCACCGAAAGGUGUGCUAAUACCGCAUACGCCCUGAGGGGGAAAGCAGGGGAUCGUAAGACCUUGCGUUAUUCGAGCGGCCGACGUCUGAUUAGCUAGUUGGUGAGGUAAUGGCUCACCAAGGCGACGAUCAGUAGCGGGUCUGAGAGGAUGAUCCGCCACACUGGAACUGAGACACGGUCCAGACUCCUACGGGAGGCAGCAGUGAGGAAUUUUCUGCAAUGGGCGAAAGCCUGACAGAGCAAUACCGCGUGAGGGAUGAAGGCUUACUGAGUUGUAAACCUCUUUUUUCAAGGAAGAAGAUCUGACGUUACUUGAAGAAUAAGCAUCGGCUAACUCCGUGCCAGCAGCCGCGGUAAGACGGAGGAUGCAAGUGUUAUCCGGAAUCACUGGGCGUAAAGCGUCUGCAGGUGGUUUUUUAAGUCUACUGUUAAAACUUGAGGCUUAACCUCAA
rnacentral:rRNA from 1 species